GCUACGUCCGCCGGCGCGGGGCUCCCGCGGGGCUCCUGCCGGGAGGCCACGCGGGUGGGGGAGGGGCGCAGGCCGGCGCGCAGGCCCGGGAAACUAGCCGGCGGGGCUUGGCACGCGCGCCCCGCUAAGGGCAGUUGUUUGGGGGAAGGAUUAGUGGUUCCAGAAACCGCCGAGAGGAACUGCCAAUCCAUGUGGCCAGCUGUCACAGGAUUUAAGAAAUGAAAGGAGCAGCCUAACCCAUGCUUCAAACACGUGGCACCAGUAACCCCUGUGCGAUGAUCCUCUUCAUGAUUCAGCUGAAAUAAAUCCAGUGAUAAAGGAGUUGGAAAUUCCAUGCCAGGAAAAGUAAGUCAUCUCUAGUGUGUCACAUUCAUUGCUCUCUAUGCCCCUUCAUUGUUGCACCCAUUCAUCUUCA